rnacentral:ncRNA from 1 species
UGGUCCCAGCCUUGAAAUCAGUUUUUACUAUGUUUAUACAUGCAAGUAUCCGCACCACUGUGAGAACGCCCCUAAAUCCUGUCAUGGACUAAGGAGCCGGUAUCAGGCACAAUUAUUAGCCCAAAACACCUAGCGUUCGCCACUCCCACAAGGGUAUCCAGCAGUAAUUAACAUUGAAUAUAAGCGCCAGCUUGAUUCAGCUAAAGUAAAGUAGGGCCGGCAAAUCUGGUGCCAGCCGCCGCGGUUACACCAAGUUAGGCCCAAAUUGAUCUCUUUCGGCGUAAAGUGUGAUUAAAGUAACAUCAUACUGUAGUUAAACUAAAAUUAAGUCGUGAUAAACUUUUUCUUAGGAGACCCAAAAACGAAAGUUACUACAUCUUAAAACAACUUGAAUUCACUAUAGCUAAGGAACAAACUAGGAUUAGAUACCCUACUAUGCUUAGCCACAAACUCUUAAUUACAUUCGCAACGCCAGGGAACUACGAGCAACGCUUAAAACCCAAGAGACUUGACGGUGCCCCACAUCCCCCUAGAGGAGCCUGUCCUAUAAUCGAUAAUCCCCGUUUAACCUCACCAUCUUUAGCCUAUUCAGUUAGUAUACCUCCGUCGCCAGCUUACCACGUGAGCGACUCAUAGUAAGUACAACGUCCAUACAAGUCGUCCAUACGUCAGGUCAAGGUGCAGCUAAUAAGAUGGGAAGAGAUGGGCUACACUCUCUAGCUUAGAGAACACAGAAAACUCGUUAUGAAAAGAAAUUGAAGGUGGAUUUAGUAGUAAAAAGAGAUCAGAGUGCUCUUUUUAAAUCGGCACUGGGGUGUGUACACACCUGCCCUGUCACCCUCUUCGCAGCCAUUAAAAAGUCUUUAACACACUAUUUGCAUAGUAGAAGAGGCAAGUCGUAACAUGGUAAGUAUACCGGAAGGUGUGCUUGGAAA